GCGGGAGUAACUCAGUGGUAGAGUGUCAGCUUCCCAAGCUGAAGGUCGCGGGUCCGAAUCCCGUCUCCCGCU
rnacentral:tRNA from 1 species